rnacentral:lncRNA from 1 species
UCCUGCCCUUCAGGAGUCCAUCUUACCAACUCUAGCUCCUUAUGGAUUCUGAGCACCAUCUUCAUUGCUGAUUUUCGUUGUCCUCAUAGACUGCUUUGAAAUGAUUGGUCCUGCACUGUACUCUCCAUCAUCAGCUCCAGUAAUGAGGGAGAUGAUAUGGUGGCCGACAGCAAGAUUAUCGAUGAUCAAUAAGAAUUUUGGAGGAAGAGGAGGGAU